rnacentral:rRNA from 1 species
AUUGAACGCUGGCGGCAUGCCUAACACAUGCAAGUCGAACGACCGCAUGAGAUACUUUCUUAUCUUUAUUUAGCGUGGCAAGGGGGAGAAAAAUAUGUAGAACCUACCUAUAUAACUGGGAAAAAUUCGGCAAAAGGGAACUAAUUACGGCAAAUUUUUUGAACGUCAAGGUUCAAGAGUGAAAGACGUCCUGCUUUUCGAUUAUACAAUGACCCGCGCUGUAUUAGCUAGUUGGUAAGGUAACGGCUUACCAAGGCAACGAUGAAUAGCCGACCUGAGAGGGUGAUCGGCCACACUGGAACUGAGACACGGUCCAGACUCCUACGGGAGGCAGCAGUAGGGAAUCUUCCGCAAUGGGCGAAAGCCUGACGGAGCAACGCCGCGUGAGUGAUGAAGGUCUUCGGAUCGUAAAACUCUGUUAUUAGGGAAGAACAUAUGUGUAAGUAACUGUGCGCAUCUUGACGGUACCGAAUCAGAAAGCCACGGCUAACUACGUG